rnacentral:rRNA from 1 species
AUGAUCUGGGACAUCCGUCUCCCGCUGAAGAUCAGGAUCUUCCUGUGGCAAUGGAUCCGUGGACGCCUCCCCUCUGGGGUUGAUGUCCUCAAGCGUAAUGGCCCGGGUGAUGGGAUGUGCCCCAUUUGUGGCACGAUUGAGGAUGCUAACCACAUCUUUUUCUCGUGCCACUCUGCCCAGUUCCUUUGGGCCUGCUUCCGCGAAACGGUUGGCGGACAGUGGUGUAAUACCAACUUUCCCGACCUGCUUGCCGAGCUUAACGCCUGCCCUGCUCGCUACCGCCAUAUUAGAUGGCUGUGCGUUGGGGUUCUCGCCUGGACGCUUUGGAACAUUCGAAAUAAGCUUGUUAUUCAGAAGGUGCCCCUCCGUCGUGCGACUGACGCAAUCUUCAAAUUGUGUGGUUACCUGCAGCUUUGGCGGCCGCUUAGCCGCCCCCAGGACCGAGACGUCAUCACCGCCCUCCUCUCCGAUCUUCGCUCGAUGGCGCUCCGCGUGGCUCCCCCGCUGCCGCCUCCUCCACCUGAGCAUGACUAG